rnacentral:misc_RNA from 1 species
GAAAUGCGAUAAGUAAUGUGAAUUGCAGAAUUCAGUGAAUCGUCGAAUCUUUGAACGCACAUUGCGCCCGCCAGUACUCUGGCGGGCAUGCCUGUUCGAGCGUCAUUUCAACCAUCAAGCCCCCGGCUUGUGUUGGGGACCUGCGGCUGCCCGCAGGCCCUGAAAAACAGUGGCGGGCUCGCUGUCACACCGAGCGUAGUAGCAUACAUUCUCGCUCAGGGCGUGCUGCGGGUUCCGGCCGUUAAACGACCUUCAUAACCCAAGGUUGACCUCGGAUCAGGUAGGAAGACCCGCUGAACUUAAGC